ACUCCUACGGGAGGCAGCAGUGGGGAAUAUUGCACAAUGGGGGAAACCCUGAUGCAGCCAUGCCGCGUGUGUGAAGAAGGCCUUCGGGUUGUAAAGCACUUUCAGUAGGGAGGAAGGUAGUGUAGUUAACACCUGCAUUAUUUGACGUUACCUACAGAAGAAGCACCGGCUAACUCCGUGCCAGCAGCCGCGGUAAUACGGAGGGUGCGAGCGUUAAUCGGAAUUACUGGGCGUAAAGCGCAUGCAGGCGGCCUGUUAAGUCAGAUGUGAAAGCCCGGGGCUUAACCUCGGAAUUGCAUUUGAAACUGGCAGGCUAGAGUCUUGUAGAGGGGUUAGAAUUUCAGGUGUAGCGGUGAAAUGCGUAGAGAUCUGAAGGAAUACCAGUGGCGAAGGCGGCCCCGUGGACAAAGACUGACGCUCAGAUGCGAAAGGCGUGGGAGCAAACAGGAUUAGAUACCCCUGGUAGCACAGAG
rnacentral:rRNA from 1 species